rnacentral:rRNA from 1 species
GACGAACGCUGGCGGCGUGCCUAAUACAUGCAAGUCGAACGCAGUGGGGACGGGUGAGUAACACGUGGGUAACCUCCCAUCAGAGGGGAUAACACUUGGAAACAGGUGCUAAACCGAUACUGAUGGAUGGACCCGCGGUGCAUUAGCUAGUUGGUGAGGUAACGGGUCACCAAGGCCACGAUGCAUAGGCGGGCUGGGAGGGGGAUCGGGCACACUGGGACUGAGGCACGGCCCAGACUCCUACGGGGAGGAGCAGGAGGGAAUCUUUGGCAAUGGGCGAAAGUCUGACCGAGCAACGCCGCGUGAGUGAAGAAGGUUUUCGGAUCGUAAAGCUCUGUUGUUAGAGGAGCGGUAACUAAACAGAAAGGGACGGCUAACUACGUGCCAGCAGCCGCGGUAAUAC